AUCUUUGAGCUUGGGGCAAUGACACAGUUAGUGAGGUGAAACCGAGACGCGUCAAUUGCUGGUUGAAAACUAUUUCCAAAUUAUUUAUGAUACUAAUACAAUAGAUUUUUGUAAAAUUAUGACAUGAACAACUCUUU
rfam:Marchantia polymorpha subsp. polymorpha scaffold1335, whole genome shotgun sequence.